rnacentral:rRNA from 1 species
CAGUCCACGCCGUAAACGAUGGAUACUAGCUGUUCGAUCUUCGGAUUGAGUGGCUAAGCGAAAGUGAUAAGUAUCCCACCUGGGGAGUACGUUCGCAAGAAUGAAACUCAAAGGAAUUGACGGGGGCCCGCACAAGCGGUGGAGCAUGUGGUUUAAUUCGAUGAUACGCGAGGAACCUUACCAGGGCUUAAAUGUAGAUUGACAGGGGUGGAAACACCUUUUCCUUCGGGCAAUUUACAAGGUGCUGCAUGGUUGUCGUCAGCUCGUGCCGUGAGGUGUCAGGUUAAGUCCUAUAACGAGCGCAACCCCUGUUGUUAGUUGCCAGCGAGUCAAGUCGGGAACUCUAACAAGACUGCCAGUGCAAACUGUGAGGAAGGUGGGGAUGACGUCAAAUCAUCACGGCCCUUACGUCCUGGGCCACACACGUGCUACAAUGGUCGGUACAGAGGGUCGCGAACCCGCGAGGGGAAGCCAAUCCCAGAAAGCCGAUCUUAGUCCGGAUCGCAGUCUGCAA